rnacentral:rRNA from 1 species
CCCCAAAAUACCAUUAAUUUUCAUGAACCCCUAAUCUAUAAUGAAUGACUCCAUAUUUAUAUGGAAGACACCAUGCUAGGAUUAGUAACAAGAAUUUAUAAUUCUCCAAAAUGCAAAUAUAAACCAACAUGGAUGGACCAUUGGUAGUUACCGAACCUAAAUUCAAUGCAACAACACCUACAAGAAAACUCUGCAGUACUUACUCGUUAACCUAACACCAGCGCAUUACAGGAAAGAUUUAAAAAAAGAGAAGGAAUUCGGCAAAUGACGGCCCCGCCUGUUUACCAAAAACAUCGCCUCUUGACUUAUAAUAAGAGGUCCAGCCUGCCCAGUGAAUUUUAAACGGCCGCGGUAUCCUAACCGCGCGAAGGUAGCAUAAUCACUUGUUCUUUAAAUGGGGACUCGUAUCAACGGCAUCACGAGGGUUUUACUGUCUCCUCUUUUUGAUCAGUGAAAUUGAUCUUCCCGUGAAGAAGCGGGAAUAAAUUUAUAAGACGAGAAGACCCCAUGGAGCUUUAAACCAAAUAACAACUUAACCACUUAUCCCAUAAUAAAUUUAAGCCCUGUUAUAAGGUUUUUGGUUGGGGUGACCGCGGAGUAAAACACAUCCUCCACGACGAAAAAAACAGAAUUUUUAUUUAAGAACCACACUUCUAGAAAUUAGUAUACUAACGUUUACUGACCCGACAAUCGAUCAACGGACCAAGUUACCCUGGGGAUAACAGCGCAAUCUACUUCAAGAGCUCAUAUCGACAAGUAGGCUUACGACCUCGAUGUUGGAUCAGGGUAUCCCGGUGGUGCAGCCGCUACCGAAGGUUCGUUUGUUCAACGAUUAAAACCCUACGUGAUCUGAU